rnacentral:rRNA from 1 species
AUUGAACGCUGGCGGCAGGCCUAACACAUGCAAGUCGAACGAGUGGCGGACGGGUGAGUAAUGUCUGGGAAACUGCCUGAUGGAGGGGGAUAACUACUGGAAACGGUAUCUAAUACCGCAUACCAUCAGAUGUGCCCAGAUGGGAUUAGCUUGUGGGGGGGGUAACGGCGCACAAAGGCGACGAUCCCUAGCUGGUCUGAGAGGAUGACCAGCCGUGCGGGGACUGAGACACGGUCCAGACUCCGACGGGAGGCAGCAGUGGGGAAUAUUGCACAAUGGGCGCAAGCCGGAUGCAGCCAUGCCGCGUGUAUGAUGAGGGCCUUCGGAUUGUAAAGUACUUUCAGCGGGGAGGCGUUACCCGCAGAGGAAGCACCGGCUAACUCCGUGCCAGCAGCCGCGGUAAUAC